AUUAUGUAUAAAAAGAAAUUAUUAUGGAUAAUUAGCUAUAUAUUAAAGAAUCACAUAGAUGUUAUCUUGAUUCUAAGAGAAAUCCUAAAUAAUAAAACAAAGUGAAUUGAAAUAUCUUAGUAACUUUAGGAAAAUAAAUCAAACGAGAUUGUUAUUUAAGUAAAUACUAAAUAAUAAUAGCCUAAUUUAAGUAAAAUGGAUAAUAUCUGUUUGAAUAUAGGGGAACCUUCCUCUAAGGCUAAAUAUGAUAUAUAAGCGAUAGUGAAUAGUACCGUGAGGUAAAAUUUGAAAUAGUAAUUUUAUAAGCAGCUCGAGUAAAAAUUAAAAUUAAAAAUAAGAGUGUACCUUUUGCAUAAUGGGUCAGCAAGUUAAUUUUAGAUGCAAGUGUAUAAUUUUUAGUAUUUUUUGAGAUAUUAAAUUAUCUAAGAUAAACCAAUUAUGAAAAAAUGAUAAGUAUCUAAAAUUAGACCCGAAGGCUAGUGAUCUUACCAUGGUCAGGGUUAAAAAAGCCCGAACGGGUUAUCGUUGUAUAGAUAUCCGAUGAAUUGUGGUAAGUUAGUGAAAGAUAAAACUGACUAGUAUAGCUGGUUUUCCGCGAAACCUAUGUGAGUAGGUAAUUUAAUUAACAUCUUAGCAGUACAGAACUGUGAUCUCGGACAAUAU
rnacentral:ncRNA from 1 species